GCCUCCGUAGCUCAGCGGAUAGAGCAGCCGCCUUCUAAGCGGUUGGUCGCAGGUUCGAUCCCUGCCGGGGGCGC
rnacentral:tRNA from 7 species